rnacentral:lncRNA from 1 species
ACCACUCAUGAGGGAUAACUAAUCAGACCCUCAAAAUACUAUCGAGAAUGCAAGAUGCUGUAGGCAUAAUUUCAUCACUGGUACACACUGCCUCUCGCGCAAAGAUGAGAAGUGCUAGAUGCCAUAGGUACAAGAUCACUGCAGGCAUACAAUGCUACUCAUGAGGGAUAACUAAUUAGAUUCUCAGAAUGCCACCGAG